rnacentral:rRNA from 1 species
GCUUAACCGAAGAAGUGCAUCGGAAACUGGGUGACUUGAGUGCAGAAGAGGACAGUGGAACUCCAUGUGUAGCGGUGGAAUGCGUAGAUAUAUGGAAGAACACCAGUGGCGAAGGCGGCUGUCUGGUCUGCAACUGACGCUGAGGCUCGAAAGCAUGGGUAGCGAACAGGAUUAGAUACCCUGGUAGUCCAUGCCGUAAACGAUGAGUGCUAGGUGUUGGAGGGUUUCCGCCCUUCAGUGCCGGAGCUAACGCAUUAAGCACUCCGCCUGGGGAGUACGACCGCAAGGUUGAAACUCAAAGGAAUUGACGGGGGCCCGCACAAGCGGUGGAGCAUGUGGUUUAAUUCGAAGCUACGCGAAGAACCUUACCAGGUCUUGACAUCUUGCGCUAACCUAAGAGAUUAGGCGUUCCCUUCGGGGACGCAAUGACAGGUGGUGCAUGGUCGUCGUCAGCUCGUGUCGUGAGAUGUUGGGUUAAGUCCCGCAACGAGCGCAACCCUUGUUACUAGUUGCCAGCAUUCAGUUGGGCACUCUAGUGAGACUGCCGGUGACAGACCGGAGGAAGGUGGGGAUGACGUCAGAUCAUCAUGCCCCUUAUGACCUGGGCUACACACGUGCUACAAUGGUCGGUACAACG